rnacentral:rRNA from 1 species
UACGUAGGGGGCGAGCGUUGUCCGGAAUUAUUGGGCGUAAAGCGCGUGUAGGCGGUUCUGUAAGUCUGCUGUGAAAACCUGGGGCUCAACCCCGGGCGUGCGGUGGAUACUGCCGGGCUAGAGUGUGGUAGAGGCGAGUGGAAUUCCCGGUGUAGCGGUGAAAUGCGCAGACAUUGGGAGGAACACCAGUAGCGAAGGCGGCUCGCUGGGCCAUUCCUGACGCUGAGACGCGAAAGCUAGGGGAGCGAACAGG